AAAAAAGAGAGAAUGUAUAUUUGCAUAUUUUUCCAAGUAUAUGGAAACAAAUAAUAUUCCCUUCCUCUUUUAAUAGGUCAUGUACUCAGUACCCACCAUAUUCCAGGCACAGUUCUAAAUGCAAGAGAUACAGCAAUGGGUAAAUAAAGCUAAGAUCCCCAUCUCUGUGGAGUUUACCUUCUAAUUGUAGUUUCAGGGAAAGAGAGGAAGUGAAUAAGCAAGAAAUACAUUGUGCAGAAAAACAUAGCAGGGAGGGCAGGGAGUACUGCUAGGGAAAUAGGUGGUCAGGGAAAGACUCACUGAGGUGGUAUUUGAGCAAAGCCUGCCAGGAGGUGAGGGAGUAAGUCAUGCAACGAUGGGAAGACACCCAGUGGAAAAGCCAGUGCGCCGAGAUGGGAAUACGCCUGUGUGUUUGACGAACAAUAAGGCGUCAUAGAAAAAUGGACAAUCGUAAGAGGAGUAAAAGCAAGAAUCUCUCGUCAUCUAAUGCAAAGUGUAUAUUAAAGGCCUUUCCUCCCAAACAUCCUAUUUGUGUCUCACAGGUCCACAGUCUUUUCCUGCAAUUCUGAGAUCCAAAAGGCUUAAAAACCCAAGCGGUCUGUGCGUUUGUUUGGUGGCAAAAGUCAUGUGACGUCAAACGUGUCUAAACUGGCAUAGAGCUAUUUACAGCCUUUUAUCCUACUUAGUAGGAAUACUCUUGUUUCACUACAAAAAAAUAUUAAUACGUUGAUUUUGGGAAUCUAACCUAGGCCCUACUCAGGUAUUACAUAUUAGGUGGUAUAGGUACUAAACUCCAAAAACAGGACGACCUGUAUCUCAUACCAAGGGUUCCAGAUAGGGGAUUAUCUUGAAUUUCAGUAACAUGAUUUCUCAAAAACAGGGUGGAAAGUGGAAUUCUCUCCUUCUAGAACAGCAACAUGUUUGUUCCUGAAGGAAGAAAGGCAAUCACACCUCAAUGGACUGUAUUUAUUUUGGGAUCUUACAUGAAAUGCAUCUCUUAGGUCAAAGCAAAAAAGCAGCCUUUAGGAUGCUAAAAGUUUUUAGUCUGGAUGGUAGAAAAUUGAUCACUUCCAGGGAUCUAGCAUUCUAAUAAUAAAAACUCUUUAGAAUAAAAAGGACAAAUUCAAAUUCAUUUACUGAUUUAUUUCUCAUUACAGUUUCUUGGUGCAAACGGUGGGGAGGAAGAACCUAUAUGUUGUAGUUCUAGUACCAUCUGGAUGAUUUCAUAGAAACUUGCCUCUCAAGGCGUAUUUUUGUUUUUCAUUUUUGGGACAGUGUACGUGGUAUUGGUAACAAUUCAUUCAGUAGAAUUUUCCUUUGGACUAAAUAUGUAUUUUAUGGGACAACAGGAAACCUUACCUUUAGAAAUAGCAUAUUUCUACCACAAGUAUAGUGUCUUACAUAGAAAUAUAUCUUGGUAAUGCUGAUAGUGUCUGGGAUUUAAAACAAUCUCUUUUAGUAUGAACCUGGAUAGUCUCAUAAAUCUUUUUUUGUGUCUGUUAUUUUGGGAGUAUGCUUAUAUACUAGCAUUGAAAUAUAAAAUAAUGACAGUUUAAUAUGAAAGUUAUGUUUAUUCCACAGACUAACAUCACUUACUUCCUCAAUAGAAAACAUGAUUUUAACUGCAUUUAGUGAAAGAAAAUCAGUAUGGUUUACAUUUUUAUGCUUUGACAAAGACUGAAUUGAAAGUAACAGUUUUUACAUGAAAUGAUUUCAUAAAAGAAAGAAGCUUAAGACCCUGUCAGAAAUAGGCAAGAAAGGAAGAGAAGGUUUCGGAAGACCUUGUGAAGAUGUAAAGGCAUUGGUCCGUUCCAGCUAGCAUUGGAAGGUGAGGAGGAAAAGUCAGCAAUGCAGGCUGCAACCGGUUGUCUAAAUGCCUAAACUGACAGCUGUGGAUAAUAACCAGGUGUGAAGGUUUCUUUGAUAGAUAAAACAGCAAAUCUAACAAUGAAAACAAAUGGUAUAUAUGGCUAACUUCAAAUAACAAAUAACUGAAUAAGACUAUAUAAUUCCCAAAACUGGAUUCUGAUUAAGAACUAGAGGUCAAGGCCACUUUGCCUCUACCAGAUAAGGUCUGCAAAAACAGAUAAACCAAGAUAAACGAAGGAUUAAAAAGUGACCUCACCAAUAAACAGUAGUCAGAGGCAAUAAUAUGAACAGUAAUUAUGUUGUUUAUAUGCCAUUUAUGUUUUAGGGUGGGCUUUGCUAUGAUAGGUUAUCUGAGUAACUGCUUCCAAAAAUAAGCUUAAUCAAAUGGAUUUGUAUAAAUGUAUGAGAUAUAAAGUUGAUAUAAUUUUGCUGCUUAUUAGGGAUAAAAAAACACAAUUGUUCUAUUAUCUACAAAUAAGCACUUUAUUAUCAAAUAGUUCAGCAUCAGAACAAGGUUUUUAAUUCCAAAAGAGUUUUCUUUACAUAAUAUCAUAUUGUGAAAUACAUACCACAUUGUGAAACCCAUGUUAGAGGAAUCUGACACUACAUCCUACAUCCCGUUCCAGUUUUUCUUUUGCAGUUGGGUAACUUGUUUUGACCGAAAAAGUAUAAAUUUAUCUCAUUCUUCUUAAUGCUGUCCAUGAAAUGUAAGUAUGAGUUCCUUUUCAGCUAGUACUUUAUAAUUAUUCUGUGCCAGGUUAAGAGAACUGUUUUAUAGUGACAUAAAACUCCACUACAAGAAAAACACAUAAUCAUCUUUACAUACACAGGCAAAUCUCUCAACACAAAAAGAAAAGACAUUAUGCAAUUAUGUAAGGCAGAUGAGCCCAGAAAUAACAUUCAUUCAAAGACAGUACUUCAUAUUCAGUAAUCCCGUAUGAGAAAUUAAUGACUCAGAGUAAAUAGAAAAUUAAAAUUAGCCCUUGGGACUUCGACAAUUAAAUUGUCAAGGCUGUUUGUGAAUUCUAAUUAAUGCUCUAAGUU